GCCGGUGUAGCUCAACGGUAGAGCGUCUGUUUCGUAAUCAGUGCGUUGCGGGUUCGACUCCUGCCACCGGCU
rnacentral:tRNA from 1 species